GAAAGACUGUGUUCGAUGAUGAAUGUUUUAAAACGUUGUACGCUAAUAGCGAUAAUUUCACUUUGGAUUUUUAAGGGAAAUAAUGGACAGAAAAGACAGGAUUUCAUCCAAGCCCUCCUCGAGGACUACGACAGUAGGAUUCCACCAAAUUUUGAGAAAGAUUACCCAUGCGAAGUCAACGUAAGCCUCUAUAUUAACAGCAUUGAUUCUAUAGACGAACAGAAAAUGG